AGACUCAUGGAUGCAACAGGGAUUCUGGAAGGUCCAUAAGCGGAUGCAGCUCCCCCAUGAUGCUACAGAGAGUUUUCAAAGGUUGCCAUCUUCAACUCCCACUGAUUUUGGUGGCUUGACAUCUCACAGAAUUGGACCCACAGUUUGGCUGAUCAGUGAGGACUGAACUAAAUGAAGUUAGAACCAUUGGGACCAAUCUUUUUGUGUCAGUACUACUUCGGAUGAGGAGAACUGCUGGAGCCAGGCAAGAAUAUGUGACCUGCUGAAGAUCAGUAAGGGGGGAAGAGGCAUAGAUGGUGGAAGGUACAAAGACAAAAACAAAAUAAGAAUGAGGUUUUCUUUCAUCCCAGAAAAAUCAUUUGAAAAGGACGAUGUUUGAAUAACUGCUUUCCCUGUCAGACUACUUUGUAUCACUCACAACCAUCAUUUUACUUGAAUAAUUCUGAUGGCUGACAGCUUCUUGUGCUACAUCUAUCCUAAACACCAGUGUUGGCAGCGUGUAGUGUACAUAUAGCUACACGUCACAGAGAAAAGCAGGUUGCAUCCACACUGAGGUGCACAGCUGCACGUGGCAGUGAAAGACUUCAGCUGCUGCAAGGCAGUAGGGAAAGGUUUCAAUAUCUCCCCCGCUGCCAGAUCUUUUCACUGCAGCAAGGAAAGGGUCUGGCAGUGGGUAAACCCUCUGCCAAAAUCUUUCCCUGAAGCGAGAAAGGGCUCCAGCAGUAGGAAGCUACCCAAGGCUUUCCCCACUGUCUCCUCUCUGCCAGACUCUGCUCACUGCUGGAAUCUUUCCCUGCUGUGGGGAAUGUCUUCAGCAGCAGGGUGCUGCGGGACACUACACUACUACAAUUAGCAGUGGGAAAGCAUGGUUUGAGCAAGAAAAGAGAUAUGUAGGGUAUGUGGUUGGGUACACACCCAUGCCGUUCAGGCAUGUCUUUACUCUACUUGCUAAGCCACGCCUUAUCGGCUACACUGCUAUUUGUACCUGUGCUAGGUACAUAUAGGUAUGUGCACCACACACCACCAAAAGAAGCAUGCAGUGUAGAUGUAUAUUUGUACAAACAGAAAUUUAAAAAUCUGAAAAGAGAACUAUCCAAAAUAAGAGCUCUGCACAUAAAGAGGAUAAAGAAAUUCUAAUUCCUGCAAAUAAGAGGAUUUAAUAUCAUGCAGAGUUCUGUACAUCUUCCUGCAUUCUCUGAUGAGAUUUUAAGUCUUUUCCUUUAAAAAAAAAACUCUAUUUGCACUGCUGCAUGACUGAGCUUUUACCUCUGGUGCAUUUAAUAUUUGGGUUCAAUCUCAUGUACAUUGAACUUUACAGCACUUUAGAUUUAAAAAUCCUAACAGGCAUAUAUCUUCAGGGUCAGCACCAUAAUUUCUGAAUCCUCCUAGGUGUGUGUCAUAAACAUACAGCUAAGGGUAGCAUAAAAUCCCUCCUUUACCUGUAAGAGGUUAAGAAGCUCAAAUAACCUGGUUGGCACCUGACCAAAAGGACCAAUAAGGAAAGAAGUUCCUUUCAGAUCUGUGCGGGGAGGUCUUGUUUGUGUGGUCUUUUGUUGUUCUCUCCGGGACAGAGAGGGACCAGGGCAGGAACAACCAUCUCCUAAAACCCUACCUAAAAUAAACUUCCACGAUCACAAAAAUUGUAAGUAAUAGCAAGGAAAUGUGUUAGCUUAUCUUUUGUUUUAGCUUGUGAAUUUUCCCUAUGCUAAGAGGGAGGUUUAUUUCUGUUUUUGUAACUUUGAAGUUUUGCCUCGAGGGGAAUCCUCUGUGUUUUUAAAUCUUAUUAUCCCGUAAAAUUAC